rnacentral:pre_miRNA from 1 species
AGUGGCAUAGCUGGGUUAAAAUGUGGUUCAAUUCCCAGUUGUCCAAGGAAUCUCCAUACUGCUUUUCAUAUUGGCUGCACCAUUUUUCAGUCCCACCAGCAAU